CAUCGUGCGACGAGUGCUCGCGCGUGCGACAUCGUUCCUCGCGAUCGUGCGACGAGUGAAAAGACCGAUCCGAGAAACGUUUUAGAUCGUAUUCCGUGCGAUCGAACGAUCUUCUUCUUCUAUUUCUCUAUUUUUUUAUUUUAUUUUCAAAUUUUAUUUUUCCUCGUGCUAGAUAUAUCUAUAUAUACAUAUAUACAUAUAUAUGUAAUCGUGUUUAUACAAAUACGUAUAAUAAUGAUUAUAUAUGUAUAAUCGUGAUUAUUGUGAACAUUGGAAAUAUAUUCGAUUCUUCAUGGUCCGGUAAAAAAAGGUGAACAUGAUUUCUGCAAGUUCUGCAAGAGUGUGAGAAAAAAGGACAAAGAUACACAGGUCGAACGAGAGAGCAAGAGAGAGAGAGAGAGAGAGACAGUGACGCAUUUUUCUCAAAAUUCCCGCUCCUUACUACGCCUGCGCGUAAAAUGUUAUCACGCGAAAAAAAAAUAAGAACAAGUGUUCUCGAUUGUUACAGCUGCCAUACUUUUUGUCAUGGAGCAAAUUAAACGAUUCGAUCUUUCAACAUUUUUGCAUGUGUGUGAAAAAAAUAGAGAGAGAAGAGAGAGACAGAGAGACCAUCGCCGUUCUUUCUCUCAUUUUCAUCGCAUUAAAAAAAAAAAGAUUAUUUUUAUCGUUUUUUAAAAUAGAUAAAGCUUCGCUUCAGAAUUUCGAAAGAACAAUGCGAUUUUUUCUAUCUCUUUCUUCUUUUGUUUUGUUAUUUUUUUUGUUCGUAUUAAACGCGAAACACUAGUCGACUCGGAACGAGAAGAGAUUCGGUUUGCGUCAUUGAAGCGAGCUCGCGGCCUAUCUGCAUCUCUCUCUCUCUCUCUCUCUCUCUCUCUCUCUCUCUCUCUUUCUCACGUUCCCUCUCUCUCUCUCUCUCUCUCUCUCUCUCCUCGUCCGAAUGCAACGACGCAGGCACGUCGCAUCGAUAAAAAGCAUCGGAAUAGCGCGUAAAUCGAGGCUCUCGCGACCUAUCGCGAAAGGAUUCGUACGAAUAUCGGUGAAUCGAAAACGUGUGCGAGCUCGUCUAUAAGAUCACCUUGAUCUCGACUCGUUAAACGAUCCAAGUCUAACCGCGUUACCCUGAUCGUUAAACCUCCUUUCAUAUCUUUUGAUUCUUACUCUUUCUUGAUUUCAACCAAGUUCUUUGCUUGUCCGAAAAGAAAUUUUUUGCAUUUUCUUUUUUUCGCCUUUUAUUAUUCGUUACCUCUUUUAAUUAUUCUGAUAAGUGAAUUUUUGAUAAUAAUCCUAGCGUCGCAACGACGUGGUGCGUGUCCUCGGAUCGAAUUUUUGUGGAUCGUCUGGAACUUUAGACAAUAGUAAGAGUGAUUAUUCUACCAGCCAAGAGUGGAUAACGAUCGGUUAUUGGAUAACUCCGGCGAUAAUCGACAUUGUUUGGAAGAUAUUUGAAUUUGGUGACAAACGGUUAAGAGAGAAAGAGA